GGAUAAUUGCUUCAAUUGAAGAGGAAAGUCCAUGCUCGCACUAUCUGUGAUGAUAGUAGUGAUUGUGCUAGUGGAAAAAAUAACACUAGGUAUAUGGGAGCAUAUAACGGCGGAACUAGUCUAAAACGUAAGUCAUGACGAUGUUCCUGAAAGUGCCACAGAGACGAGCCUAAUAGAAAUAUUAGGAUGGAACGGGUAAACCCCACAAGCGAGAAACCCAAAUUUGGUAGGGGAGGUUAGGACAGAGAAUCGAAUCAAUCCUAGCACACGUAAGUGUAGAUAAAUUAUUAUCCUAGACAAAACAUGGCUUAUAG
rnacentral:RNase_P_RNA from 1 species